CAGCCGCCGCGGUAAGACGAACCGUGCAAACGUUACUCGGAAUCACUGGGCUUAAAGCGCACGUAGGCGGCGACAUAAGUUAGAGGUGAAAUCCCAUCGGCUCAACCGUGGAACUGCCUCUAAUACUGUGUUGCUUGAGGGAGAACGGGGCAUUCGGAACUUCCGGUGGAGCGGUGAAAUGUGUUGAUAUCGGAAGGAACGCCGGUGGCGAAAGCGGAAUGCUGGGUCUCUUCUGACGCUGAGGUGCGAAAGCUAGGGUAGCGAACGGGAUUAGAGACCCCAGUAGUCCCUGUCUCUUAUA
rnacentral:rRNA from 1 species